AUAUUAACAUUGUUGCAGCUUGAUCUAACACCAAACUGACGUGGUUUGAUUGACUCCCGGGACACCUGGCUGACACGCCGAUGGCUUACCGUAAGCUUUGUUCAAAAAAGGUAGUUUCGACUGGGAUGCACGAUAAUCCAUAUUUAUUUUGCAAACAGCGAAUACAUAAUCUUUCUUCAAUUCAUACAGGAUAACUCACAGCCGCCACCGCGUCGGUCAAAAACCGUUUGGCCCUUCCGGUAUCAACAAACCAACAACAGGUGAAAUCAAUCAAUGUUCCCUAAAUACCUGUGGUCGUGCCACAGGACAGCGACACCCACUGACGCAAUUGAGUACUUCACCAGGUGAAUAAAUGAACCGCUCUUACACAGUGAAUGGCUCUUACA